rnacentral:rRNA from 1 species
CGGAGAUAUAUGGAGCUUGCUUUAUAUAACUUAGCAGCGAACGGGUGAGUAACACGUAGAUAAUCUAUCCUAUACUGGGGGAUAGCCCGAUGAAAGUUGGAUUAAUACCGCAUAUAGCUAUAUAGUUGCAUGAUUAUGUAGUGAAAGAUUUAUUGGUAUAGGAGGAGUCUGCGGCACAUUAGCUAGUAGGUGAGGUAAAGGCUUACCUAGGCGACGAUGUGUAGCCGGUCUGAGAGGAUGAACGGCCACAAUGGAACUGAGACACGGUCCAUACUCCUACGGGAGGCAGCAGUGGGGAAUAUUGCACAAUGGGGGAAACCCUGAUGCAGCAACGCCGCGUGAGUGAAGAAGGUUUUCGGAUUGUAAAGCUCUGUUAGCAGGGAAGAGGAAGGACGGUACCUGCAGAGGAAGCCACGGCUAACUACGUGCCAGCAGCCGCGGUAAUACGUAGGUGGCAAGCGUUGUUCGGAAUAACUGGGCGUAGAGGAUGCGUAGGCGGUUAAACAAGUUAUAUGUUAAAUAUAUAGGCUUAACCUGUAGAAAGCAUAUAAAACUGUUUAACUAGAGUGCAGGAGAGGUAAGUGGAAUUCCUAGUGUAGCGGUGAAAUGCGUAGAGAUUAGGAAGAACACCAGUGGCGAAGGCGACUUACUGGACUGUAACUGACGCUGAGGCAUGAGAGCAUGGGGAGCAAACAGGAUUAGAUACCCUGGUAGUCCAUGCUGUAAACGAUGGGUACUAGGUGUGGGUUGUGAAUAACAAUUCGUGCCGUCGCAAACGCAAUAAGUACCC